rnacentral:rRNA from 1 species
GGCACGUGGGGGCGGGCUUACACAUGCAGUCGACGAUGAAGGGAAGCUUGCUUCUUGGAUUAGUGGCGAACGGGUGAGUAACACGUGAGUAACCUGCCCUUGACUCUGGGAUAAGCACUGGAAACGGUGUCUAAUACCGGAUACGAACUUCCACCGCAUGGUGAGGAGUUGGAAAGAAUUUUGGUCAAGGAUGGGCUCGCGGCCUAUCAGCUAGUUGGUGAGGUAAUGGCUCACCAAGGCGACGACGGGUAGCCGGCCUGAGAGGGUGACCGGCCACACUGGGACUGAGACACGGCCCAGACUCCUACGGGAGGCAGCAGUGGGGAAUAUUGCACAAUGGGCGCAAGCCUGAUGCAGCAGCGCCGCGUGAGGGACGAAGGCCUUCGGGUUGUAAACCUCUUUUAGUAGGGAAGAAGCGUAAAAGUGACGGUACCUGCAGAAAAAGCACCGGCUAACUACGUGCCAGCAGCCGCGGUAAUACGUAGGGUGCAAGCGUUAUCCGGAAUUAUUGGGCGUAAAGAGCUCGUAGGCGGUUUGUCGCGUCUGCUGUGAAAUCUGGGGGCUCAACCCCCAGCCUGCAGUGGGCACGGGCAGACUAGAGUGCGGUAGGGGAGAUUGGAAUUCCUGGUGUAGCGGUGGAAUGCGCAGAUAUCAGGAGGAACACCAAUGGCGAAGGCAGAUCUCUGGGCCGUAACUGACGCUGAGGAGCGAAAGCAUGGGGAGCGAACAGGAUUAGAUACCCUGGUAGUCCAUGCCGUAAACGUUGGGAACUAGAUGUAGGGGCCAUUCCACGGUUUCUGUGUCGCAGCUAACGCAUUAAGUUCCCCGCCUGGGGGAGUACGGCCGCAAGGCUAAAACUCAAAGGAAUUGACGGGGACCCGCACAAGCGGUGGAUGAUGUGGAUUAAUUCGAUGCAACGCGAAAAACCUUACCUACCCUUGACAUGGUCGGAAGUCCG